rnacentral:tRNA from 1 species
GCCAACGUAGCUCAGCCGGUAGAGCAACGGUUUCGUAAACCGUAGGUCGGGGGUUCAAGUCCCCCCGUUGGCU